rnacentral:lncRNA from 1 species
CUUCAUCUUCAGAUGAAUGGGAAGAACGACGUUAUCAACAAAAUCGUCAAAUUGAUCGCAUUAUUGACGAUAUGCUCAUAAACAAUCUCAAUCUUAUUUUAGGAACUUCUUCUUCCACCACUAAAAAAAGGUAUUGUGAUAGGGAACGUGAAGUUGGUGAGCAACGUUUGAUGAGUGAUUAUUUUGUCCCUAAUCCAACGUAUACUUCGGAGCUCUUCCGGCGUAGAUUUCGCAUGCAGAAAUCAUUGUUCCUUCGUAUAGUAGAUGUUGUUACUGCUAAUGACGAAUAUUUUCAACAGAGACCCGAUUGCACGGGUAGGCAAGGCCUUUCACCACUACAAAAAUGCACUGGAGCUAUGAGGGUGUUGGCUUAUGGAACCGCAACCGAUGCCGUUGAUGAAUACUUACGAAUGAGUUCAACAGUUACGAGGGAUGCUGUCAUUCAUUUCGUAGAAGGUAUCAUUUCUUGCUUUGGUGACACAUACCUUAGAAGGCCCAAUCAACAAGAUUUGCAAAGACUACUCUAUGUUGGGGAACAAC